CCGUCACCACUUCUUUUUUCUUCUAGACCCUUACAGUGCAUCGGCUCAUCCCUCCAUCUCUAUCUCAAUUCAUUUACUUCCCACCGGCAUAGUGCUCCAAAAUAGCAACAAUACAGGCUCAAGCGCACGACAGCACUACACUCUCCACCAUCGAUCCCUUCGCUCCCUUCAUUAGUGACAACUGCGACACACAGAAUCAGGUAUCACAUCUCCAUCUUUCUUAUAUUUAGAAAUCAUAACAUCGACUCAUCUGUUCUACUGCUUACCUGCUUCUACACUCUCAAUCAAAAGGUAAAUUACCACCACUGCGGUUUGGGGAUUUUUUCUGAAUACUGCUUAUCUGCUAUAAUUGCUUUUGUAGUAGAUACUCUCCAUCAAACUGUCACCGCCAUCGACUUCUUCAAGAACAUGGAAACCCACCGUCUCUCUCUAAACUCAUCUAAAACCCAUUUCUAUGAAAGAGAUGAAUGUACAGUAAACUACACGAACACAAAAUAGGACCCACGAUUAUCGAUUUAAUUGUCCGACCUCGAUUACCAAUCAAGACAGGGAAAUCGGUGACAGAGAAAAGUGAAGUCGUCGGCGUAACGUUCCGAGUUCACCGAAUACUCUAAAAACCUCUGAUUUCACACAUCAUCGUUUCCAUUUGUGCCCUACCUUUAUUCUUCCAGCAGGUGUUUGGUGGUAGUUGUGGAGUUAGAAGGGCAAGAGAGUGGUGCAACGGGGUGGGUAUCAACGAAAAUGAUGGAGACGGACUGCAUGUUGUCGUCAUUGCAGGUAAAAUGAGGUUUGUAACAUCCUAAAAAUACGAGCCAAAAAUUUCAUUCUUAAAACAUGUGCUUAGCAAAACAUUAGGAAUAAAACGUUUAACGAUCAUCUCAUUUCGCAAAAGAUAUUGCAUGUCUGGAAAGCAUUUUUAUAAAACAUAAAAGUGUCAAAGUACAAGUCCCCAGGUGAUAUCAUAAUGUGGAAUAUAAAGCAUGUGUGUGAUGUACCGCUACCGCACCAGCUCCUUCCCCUUCGAAGAAGAGGUACCUGAAACCAAAACUGAGAACUGUAAGCACGAAGCUUAGUGAGUUCCCCCAUAAUACCUCAUACCAUACAAACAUACAAUGAACAACUAGGAGAUACGGGCCUCGCCCACACUCCGCUAGCUGGGAGAUACGUGCCUCGCCCACACUCCACUAGCUGGGAGAUACGGGCCUCGCCCACACUCCUCUAUUUGGGAGAUACGGACCUUGACCACACUCCACUCUCAAAAAGAUACGGGCCUCGCUCACACUCAACUGCUAACCCGUAAUAUACAAGUAUCACACAGACAACGAGUAUAGACAAUUCUAACAUACUGGCAUAUAUCAUACUCAAAUCAACCAGGAGAUACGGGCUCGACCCACACUCUAACACUAACAUCUCAUCUAUACGGGCCGGCCUUGGUGCCUUAGAACCGUUACUACUGGAAGGAAACUCACCUCCAAGUAGCUGCUGAUCUGUGUGGGAACUGACUGUCUGCUGCUGCUGCCGCUGCCGCUCCGGAAAUCCUCCAGCUAUAAUUCCCACAAAACCCUUAAUCAAAUACUGCUAACCGGCUUCAGGGUAAAAUGACCAUUUACCCUUUACCAAUCAAGAGUCAAGUCAAAGUCAACUAUCAGUUGGCCCGACUCGCCGAGUUGACUUGUCAACUCGCCGAGCCCUAUCCCUUUGUCCGACCAUAAACCCGUCUCUACUCGUUGAGUUAAGCAUUGACUCGACGAGUUCUCCUUCUAAACUAAAGGCCAAUAGUCCUUCAUCCUACUUGUCGAGUUGUAUGAACAACUCACCGAGUUCGUCUUCAUCCGAAGAACACUCUAAGCUGUGACUCGCCGAGUUGUAUGAACAACUCGCCGAUUUGUUCUUAAGACAAGAAGAUUGCCUUGAACUUGCCGAGUCAUGGCACUGACUCGCCGAGUUACUUCACGAGUGAGUCUAGCUUCCGACUCGCUGAGUCCUAUCCCACGACUCACCACUCCACCCCGUAAUCACGAAAAGGGGAAAACUCGGGGACUCGCGACUCGACUCGCCGAGUCAGAUGAACGACUCGCCGAGUCGGCUACAUGCAAAUACUAUACACGCGAUUCUACUUGAAUCCAACUCAUGCUAUUCAUAGAUCUGGGUUUCUAGGGCAUGAAUAACACGUAAAGUUUCCAACUUUACGUGUAAAUAUUCACCAAUGAAGGUUUUAGGGCUCAAAAUGCACCAAAAGAGUAGAUCUAGGGCUUUCAUGCAAUAUGGCUCCAUAAAGGUAGUAGAUCCAAGCUCCUGGAGCUCAAUCAUGCCUAGAUCUAGAGGCUAAACAACUUAUUACGAACCCUAAAACACAAACAAGCUUGGGGAAAGGCUCAAGAAGGACUUUCAUGGAGCUACAAGGGACAUUAAGCAUGAAAACAGAGGGAAACUGAGAUAUACAUCAAGGGAAUCACUGAGAUAACCCAAAUAUGCCUGGCCUCCUCCUCUUCUUCUUGAUCUACUCUUCUUCCCUCUCCAAACCUUCAAGAAAACACACAAAAAUGCUUCAAACUCACAAGGAACAAGGCUUGAACGAAGUAUAGAGCUCUGAGGGUGAAAGGGGCGAGCUUGGGGGCGGAUAAGAGGGUUUAAAUAGGGUGCAAACCCUUGAAAUUUAGGGUUUCAUCAGACAGCGGGGACUCGCCGAGUCUAGAAUAUGGACUCGCCGAGUCGCCAACUUAAACGUGUUUCGGAUCCCGUCUCUACUCGGCGAGUUAGACCUACAACUCCCCGAGUCCAAGGCUAAAAAUGGAAAACACGAAGAUAAAUUUUACGUACGAGGAACCAGGUGCUACAAGUUGCCACCUCAUGAACCUUCUAUUAUCUAGAAAGCUGUCAACUAUUUCCUACAAAAUCAUGAAGGUGUAUAACGAUUAUUGAUGUUCGAUGUGUUGCUGCUGAUUUUGAUGCUAGAUAUAAAGCUCUAGAGUGAACAUAGGUCGGGAACAUUUAUCGACUCUUGAGAAACGUCCGCAAUGCAGAAAGCUUGCACAGUUCCUGUGGGACUUCAUGAUUUCAGUUCUUUUCAAGCAUCUGCUUGCCAGCUUCUCAUCUUGUGCUUAAUGAAAUACAUCAAUUUCCUGAUGACUAUUAAGAAUUAAUUUUUAUGAUUUAUUAAAAAUUUCCGAAAACAUUCAAUCAUUUUGUAUCUGUACCAUUGAUGUUUACAAUAAUGAUUCACCAUUGGUGUGUACUAAUCUAUUUUCUCGCACUCAAAAAGUGUUUGUGCGUGUUCUUUA